ACACAGGAGCCCUGCUCUGAGCACCCCCAGCGGACUGAGCUCCCUUCCCUUCCCCGCCCCCCCAGUGCUCGGCAGACUGUGGCACCGGUACCCAGCGGCGCGACGUGAUCUGCGUCAGCAAGCUGGGCUCGGAGUUCAACGUGACGGAGGCCUCGGAGUGCGCCCCCCUGGAGAAGCCGCCCUCCCUGCAGCCCUGCACCGGCAGUGCCUGCGACGCUCGCUGGUUCUCCACCUCCUGGAGCGCGUGUUCCAAGUCGUGUGUCGGGGGAGUCCAGGUGCGGGAGGUGCAGUGCCUGACCCAGAACAAAACCUUCAGCAAUCUCUGCCCGUCGGAGCUCAAGCCCAUCAAGAAACGCUCCUGCAAUACCCAGCCCUGCACCCCCGAGCUCGACGAGAACUGCAGGGACAAGUACCACAACUGCCCCGUGGUGGUGCAGGCCCGGCUCUGCGUCUAUUCGUACUACAAGCUGGUGUGCUGCGCUUCCUGCACCCGGGCCGUGGAGCGGAGCAAGGACAUGCAGAGCCGGUAGCGGCGCCGGCCGGCCAGAGACGGGGGCCGGGCUCCCGCUCGCUCAUCGUGGGGAUGGGCGUGUUUCUUGGGGAGGACUCGGAUGGACCUGGGCUGUGAAACCAACACCCGCCCCCCCCCCCCCCCCGACCCUCCUGGGACCCGGCUGUGGGGAGGGGACAACCGGACUCUGCAUGCGGAGAAGAGGAACGAGGGGCCGGGGCGGCUUUGAACGAGGAUCACGGCUCGUCCCAGGGCCACAGAUCUUCCCUGUCGCUGGAGAGGCCGGUUCUGCUCGCAGAUCUAGGGCCCGAUCCUGGGUGGGGCUGAGUGCCGGGAGCUUGUCUCCAGCAGGGCCAGUCCUGCCCAGGAUCAGGGCCCUUGUGUGUUACUGACCAAUUCUGCAUACGGGCCCAGUGCUGAUGGGAAGGGGCCGCCGCAGGCCGUGAUGCUGACUUCUCCCCGGGGGGUCGUGAUGCUGGAUG
rnacentral:lncRNA from 1 species